rnacentral:rRNA from 1 species
GAUGAACGCUGGCGGCGUGCCUAAUACAUGCAAGUCGAGCGAACAGAUGAGGAGCUUGCUCCUCUGACGUUAGCGGCGGACGGGUGAGUAACACGUGGAUAACCUACCUAUAAGACUGGGAUAACUUCGGGAAACCGGUGCUAAUACCGGAUAAUAUAUUGAACCGCAUGGUUCAAUAGUGAAAGACGGUUUUGCUGUCACUUAUAGAUGGAUCCGCGCCGCAUUAGCUAGUUGGUAAGGUAACGGCUUACCAAGGUAACGAUGCGUAGCCGACCUGAGAGGGUGAUCGGCCACACUGGAACUGAGACACGGUCCAGACUCCUACGGGAGGCAGCAGUAGGGAAUCUUCCGCAAUGGGCGAAAGCCUGACGGAGCAACGCCGCGUGAGUGAUGAAGGUCUUCGGAUCGUAAAACUCUGUUAUUAGGGAAGAACAAAUGUGUAAGUAACUAUGCACGUCUUGACGGUACCUAAUCAGAAAGCCACGGCUAACUACGUG